rnacentral:ncRNA from 2 species
UUUUUUUCAAUUAAAAACAUUUGUAUAAACUCAUAAUACGGUUGAGUGUUUCUACAGCAAACCAUCGAAAUUUGCUUCUACAAAUUGUUUUUUUUACUUC